UACAGAGGGGGCAAGCGUUAUUCGGAAUUAUUGGGCGUAAAGGGCGCGUAGGCGGCCUGGCAAGUGGAUGGUGAAAUCCCUCGGCUUAACCGAGGAACUGCCAUCCAGACUGCUUGGCUUGAGACCGGGAGAGGUGAGUGGAAUUCCGAGUGUAGAGGUGAAAUUCGUAGAUAUUCGGAAGAACACCAGUGGCGAAGGCGACUUACUGGACACAUAUUGACGCUGAGGUGCGAAAGCGUGGGGAGCAAACAGG
rnacentral:rRNA from 1 species